ensembl:lncRNA SEPTIN7P11 septin 7 pseudogene 11
CGGAUGACUGGCCGCAGGCGGCCGGGCGGGCUGUAACCCGCCGCUGAACUAGCGCUUCUGUGUCCAGAGGCUUCGGCCUGGCCGCCGUCGCCUGUAAGCUACGAGGAGGAGAUUUACGACUUGGCCGGGCGCAGCAAAGGCCAGACUCUGCGCGAACAGGCGCUGCGCACCAACCGGCAGGCACCUGGCGGGCACCAUCGCACGGUGGCGCAGAAGCCCCUCAAUGGCCAGCGCCAGCUGCAGCCGCGGCCGCGCAGUCGUCCCACCUGAGCUUGGGCGAAUGUGGAUUGGGAAAGUCGACAUUAAUCAACUCAUUAUUCCUCAUAGAUUUGUAUUCUCCAGAGUAUCCAGGUCCUUCUCACAGAAUUAAAAAGACUGUACAGCUGGCAGCCUGUUAUCGAUUACAUUGAUAGUAAAUUUGAGGACUACCUAAAUGCAGAAUCAUGCGUGAACAGACAUCAGAUGCCUGAUAACAGGGUGCAGUGUUGUUCAUACUUCAUUGCUCCUUCAGGACAUGGAAUUGCUAAAGGACACAAGGAAAAUCACAGCAGCUUACUUUUUCCUCAACGGAUAUUUGGGCACCUUCACGAGUGUUAGAUACCAUGCUAGGUCCUGAGGAUACAGAUGAAUGAGACAAGGCCCUCACUGCGAAGAGUAUUUCAGUGAGAAGAUGGGAGAAACAAAUACAGAUGCUCUUCGACUUGGGACAGGGUUACAUUAACCCAUCACUUAAACCAUUGGAUAUUGAGUUUAUGAAGCGUUUGCAUGAAAAAGUGAGUAUCACCCCACUUAUUGCCAAAGCAGACACACUCACACCAGAGGAAUGCCAACAGUUUAAAAAACAGGUAACUUUUCCGGUCACACACAACAGACUGAUUUUCCUGUGGAAGACCUCACAGGAGUUCUCUUGAACCAGGAGACUAUUUUGAGCUGAAAUACCUGGAGCCCUCUCAAGCUAUUUGGGCCUUUCAAUUUGAAACCCAGGUUUGGAUGAUUCUAAGCUCUAUGGCAGAGACUGUAAUCAUUUUCUCUUCACCCUCAGGUUGGGGACUCACCCUCAGGGUUGGGAGUGACUGCUGUCUCUCCAGCCCCCACCAAUUACACCAUGUUCUGGUUGUUAAAAUCCAGUGUAUGCAUGAAAUGUAAUAAAAGUAUCUUCGCAGCACUAA